AUGAAGGGAACAAAGUCAUUUGUAGCUGUUCAACAUGAAUUAAAUUGUGUCAAUAUCAGACUGUACAAGGAGUGUUACUCUAGUGAUAAGAAGGGAUGGGCAUCAGAAGAUGCCAGGAAUAAACAUGAAGAAAUGUUGCAGAAGCGAAAUGAACAUAUAAAGGAGGGCGAAGUACCUUUAACCGAGCAAGGAAUAUGGUAUAUGGUUACAUCAGAGGUCGGGGUCAUGGACGGCACUAGUGCGAGACGGCUCGGUUUCCCAACUGAUAGAUCUGUUUUCAGGUCAGGCUACAGAUCUAUUCUUCUGAUGGUUCUCUGGUCUCAGAUGGAGGGUCGAGGGGGUGAAGCAAUUUUGGAGAGGUGUAGAGGACAUGUGGGGAGUGAUCCGAGCAGUGCUAAACUUGAUUCUUUGCAGAUGCCAAAAGUUCAGUUUACCCAAAUGCCAAAAGAGUAG
rnacentral:rRNA from 1 species